CCAAUAGCGUAUAUUAAAGUUGUUGCAGUUAAAAAGCUCGUAGUUGAAUUUCGGGAUCAAUAUGUUGGUCGUGCCUCGGUACGUACUGGCAUUAUUGGUUUCUCCCUUCUGAAGAACCAUGAUGCCAUUAAUUUGGUGUCGUGGGGAAACAGGACUGUUACUUUGAAAAAAUUAGAGUGUUUAAAGCAGGCCCGCGCUUGAAUACAUUAGCAUGGAAUAAUGAAAUAGGACGUUUGAUUCUAUUUUGUUGGUUUCUAGGAUCGACGGAAUGAUUAAUAGGGAUAGUUGGGGGCAUUAGUAUUCAAUUGUCAGAGGUGAAAUUCUUGGAUUUAUUGAAGACUAACUACUGCGAAAGCAUUUGCCAAGGAUGUUUUCAUUAAUCAAGAACGAAAGUUAGGGGAUCGAAGACGAUCAGAUACCGUCGUAGUCUUAACCAUAAACUAUGCCGACUAGGGAUCGGAUGAUGUUAAUUUUUUAAUGACUCAUUCGGCGCCUUACG
rnacentral:rRNA from 1 species